rnacentral:rRNA from 1 species
GAUGAACGCUGGCGGCGUGCCUAAUACAUGCAAGUCGAGCGAACGGACGAGAAGCUUGCUUCUCUGAUGUUAGCGGCGGACGGGUGAGUAACACGUGGAUAACCUACCUAUAAGACUGGGAUAACUUCGGGAUACCGGAGCUAAUACCGGAUGAUAUUUUGAACCGCAUGGUUCAAAAGUGAAAGACGGUCUUGCUGUCACUUAUAGAUGGAUCCGCGCUGCAUUAGCUAGUUGGUAAGGUAACGGCUUACCAAGGCAACGAUGCAUAGCCGACCUGAGAGGGUGAUCGGCCACACUGGAACUGAGACACGGUCCAGACUCCUACGGGAGGCAGCAGUAGGGAAUCUUCCGCAAUGGGCGAAAGCCUGACGGAGCAACGCCGCGUGAGUGAUGAAGGUCUUCGGAUCGUAAAACUCUGUUAUUAGGGAAGAACAUAUGUGUAAGUAACUGUGCACAUCUUGACGGUACCUAAUCAGAAAGCCACGGCUAACUACGUG